UUCUUUAUUUCUUUACUUUCUUAAUAACUUACUUGCUUUCACUUUACUCUAUGGACUUGCCCCAAAUUCUUUCUUGUGGGAGAUCCAAGAACACUCUCUUGGGGUCUGGAUCAGGACCCCUUUCUUAUAACACCACCACCUGCUUUCUUGGGUCUCCAGCUUGCAGAUGGCAGAUUGUGGGACUUACUUCUUAGCCUUCAUAACUGCAUGACUAAUUUAUCAUAUUAAAUCUUAUUUUCUUUAUAUAUAUCUCCAUCCUACUGGUUUCUCUGGAGAACCCUAAUACAUUUCCCAUCUCUCUGCAGCUAGAAUCAGCCAGAAACAUAUAAGGAGACUCCACCAGGAGUGGGGAGUUCUUGGGAAAGCUUUUGCUUCUGAAAAAAGAUAAAAGUACACAGGAGAGCUGUCUGGUGCCAUUCCUUGAGCAUGUGAGAGACUGUGUCACCGGGAGCAGCAGUUAUCUGUGGCCAUAAGUUGAGAUGACUGGAUGAAAUGCUAACAUGUUGAGAAGUCCCAGCCUGGAGGAUCUAGCUUACAGAAUUUUCCUGUGGGCUAGAGAAGAAACCUUUACUCCCUAUGACAGCAAAGCUUCAAGACCUGCUGCUACAUGGCAGAAGAUACGACAUCACAAAAUAGACAACCCACCCUUUUUUUCCCCAAAGGAUGGUGGGAAGAAGGAAGCAGAAUGGAAAAGAACUAGGAAAGCCAAGUACAGAGAUGAUGUGUGUUCCAAGCACCACCCACCUUACCCCACCCCUGUCCCGCCCAGCUUAGAGGACUGAAGAGAAUGCAGAAUUAGGCAUGGGUAGGGCUGCUUUUGUCCUAGUUCCCUUGGGACUGGUCGGGGACAGGCUCAUAGGCUGUUCUGCACCACCCAGAGAGAAGCUGUGUCACUUGGCAGUACAGUAGGCCAGGAGAAGAUUGUGGUGGCCCCACGUGGCUCUGUGGUAUUUAUAUAGGAUCCUGCAGCUGCUGAGUCUCUGGUGCGGAGCAGCCCAGUGGGGGUUGUUAUAGUGGCAGUGGGGUGCCCUGUAGAGAGCAUUACAGAGUGGGUCACCAGGCCCAGGAUUAGAAGUGUCUGUAGCCCCCGAGGAACCGGGACAGGACUGAAUCAGUCAAGAAGAGACGAGAUGAUGAUGACGGAGUGGCCACAAAGUCCUCCCACCCCUACCCUAUCCCAGAUGAGCCCAUGCUGUAACCACAUGAAGAGCAAAGAAACAACUAUUUAUUCUCAGGGACUGUGUUAAUGAUUCCCAACCAUCAGCAUCGAAGAAGAGGUCCGGAAGAAUGUGAAGAAUGCUAAGUCUUGUGUGGAGAAUAGAGGGGAGCAUGAAGACAAUCCACAGCCUGCAGGCAGGGACUUCAUGGACACUCUACAUUGUGCAGCAGCCACAGAAUUCAGCCACAGGUGCCAGCUGGACAAUGCAUAGGAGUGAAUGAGACAGAAAGCAAGACCAUGAGGAUGACUAAGAAGAGCAAGUACAACAUGGCUGAGACUAAGUGUCCAGGGAGUUGAGAAUAAGUGGCCUAUUGUCAUGUCCUAUAUAAGUAGAGUAUAUGGAUGGGAGGCCAAGAAUACACCAACAAAUAAAAUAUUGAAUAUAUCGGUCAAGGGCAUAUCGAGAUGAUCAGGAUGCUGCCUAUUGGAAUGUUUAUCCUCCCACCCUACCCCAGAAGAGGAGCUUCUCGUCUUGUUCACCGCUGUUUCCCAGCUCCUGGAAGAGCCUGGCACAUAAAAGGUGCACAAUGAACAUUCAUUAAAAUCAAUGAUUAAUUGAACUGGCUAGUAUUCCAUCUCACUUUCAUUACUGGAGAACUGAAGAGCCAGCUAGCCUACAAAAACUCAUUCUGGAUGUAGAAGCAAUAAGAAAACAUGCAUUCAAAUAAAAGCAGAGAAUCCUUCU
rnacentral:lncRNA from 1 species